rnacentral:rRNA from 1 species
AUUGAACGCUGGCGGCAUGCUUUACACAUGCAAGUCGAACGAGUGGCGAACGGGUGAGUAAUAUAUCGGAACGUACCGAGUAAUGGGGGAUAACUAAUCGAAAGAUUAGCUAAUACCGCAUAAUAUUAGAGCGGCCGAUAUGGGAUUGGCUAGUUGGUGGGGUAAAGGCCUACCAAGGCGACGAUCCGUAGCGGGUCGGAGAGGAUGAUCCGCCACACUGUAACUGAGACACUGCCCAGACUCAUACGGGAGGCAGCAGUGGGGAAUUUUGGACAAUGGGGGCAAGCCUGAUCCAGCCAUGCAGCGUGUCUGAAGAAGGCCUUCGGGUUGUAAAGGACUUUUGUCGGGGAAGCGUUACCUGAAGAAUAAGCACCGGCUAACUACGUGCCAGCCGCCGCGGUAAUAC